CAAGUCAGGGCAACACUGAGUUAGAAUGGCAAGCUCAGAAUAAACAGCUUCAGGCAUUCGGACUAUUCAGCACUGUUAAAGGUCAUUGUCCUUGCAUGCCUAUGUGCCUUGUCUGUGUCCAUCCCGUGGCUGUUUGCAACACACCCAGCCCAGCCAGUGGUCGGUCCACUGUCCCUCAGACCUUGUGGGGGGCUGGACUAUAUUUUUUUUUGGGGGGGGAAUGAACGAAUUCCUAUGCCCCACAAAUAACCCAGAGAUGCAUUUUAAAUAAAAGGACACAUUUUACUCAUGUAAAAACACGCUGAUUCCUGGACCAUCUGCAGGCCGGAUUUAGAAGACGAUUGGGCCGGAUCUGGCCCCCGGGCCUUAGUUUGCCUACCCAUGGUCUAUGCAAUGCCUUCCCCAACAAGGCCCACCCUGGCACCAGGGCCACCCAAAACAUUUGGGCACCUGAGUCAAACUACAAAAUGCCAUCAUCGGGGAAGAAGGGGUGAGUGCAGAUCUACAUCAGGAGCAAAUGGGGAAUAAAGAUCUGCAUCGGGAGGAGACAAGCGCACCUCCUAUUUGCUCAGAGGCUGAUGUAGAGGGGGCAUUGAGGGACGCGCGUGCAUGGGGGGGGGGCUGCUGAGGAAAUCCAGCCUCCAAUGAGUACAUGGCAGCUGUUGCCUCCGCUGUGGCAGCAGUGGCGGGCGAUACAUUCCUUGGAGGCUGGAUCUGCUGUCUCUCUGGAUCCUGCCACCUGAGGUGGUUAGCUCACCUUGCCUCAUGGGUGGGCCAGCCGUGCCAGGCACAGACAUUAACUUCCGACCAGGUUAAGGCAUCCCUCUUCUCCCAGCCAGGGAAUAUGAUUAUCAUGCUUAUCUGUGCAAAGGACCACUCCUUCCUCACCAACGCUUGCUCUGUUAUGAAGGAGAAUGGAACAGGGCUUAUGGAGUAUCCCUUCACCUUUCCUGUCAUAACCCUUCUCUCUCUCUCUCUCUCUCUCUCUCUCUCUCUGUGUGUGUGUGUGUGUGUGUGUCUGUCUCCUGCAGCUCAUUCCUUGCUGCUGGCCUGGGUGAGGAAGGAGAUGUUUUGUUUGUUUGCUGGCUCCUUCCUGAGAUGCCUUUGCCAUUCUGUUGGAUUUUUAAAGCUAAUCCCAAGAGAAGCUACACUGUUAUUUGCAAAAGAACUCCUGUUUUCCUCUCAAAUAAUGUUUCCCUAAGGGAGGAGAAUGGGCCUGGUUCCCGCUGACAUUUAAACUGAUAAAUGUAAUUUGUAUGGUAAGAUGCUGCUAAUUUAAUUGCAUUUCCUUUCCUUCAUCUCCUCUGCCCCACACCCCCACCCCUUUCUCCCCAAGAAGAGAGGAUCGCAGUGAAAGGCCUUGGCAAGGUGUCGCUUUGCAUUGUGCAGAAUGGGAAAGGUCUCUACCUGACUUAUUUUGUCCCCUUUGCUUCAGCUGUCACUGCUGACAGCCCUCAUGUUUAUUUCAUCUCGCGCGGUGGCUGUCUCGUUUCCCUAUCCUCCGAUGUCAUUAACGCACAGAGAGUGGGGCCUGCAGUGCCGAGCCUAAUGAAAUCCACUGUGGCUCUUCAUGCUCCCCACCUCGUUACCAAGGCUCAAGGUGUCAAAUUAAAUGCAGCCUGGAAAAGGAGAGAGAAAGUGAGGGGGAGCCUGGGGGUGAGGGGAGAGAGAGAGAGAGUCAUUAGAAGAGAAGAACUCAUGAAAUGCCUGCCCCUCAUCUGGGAUAGUGGGGUCUAACCCAAUACCUGACCGUCUUUGCUUUGUGCUUCCCUUUCUGAUGUUCACAUUGGGGACAUCUCUGCACUUACACUGAACGCCUUCCCCACAGAACAAGUGGAGCCUGCCUGCUCCCACACAUUUACAGAACGAUGGCACGGCAACCCUCGUGUCAUCUCGGUUUAGAAAUUAAUAGUGAGCUCCAUUGCCAGCAGAGCACAUUACGAACUUUACUGCUACUAUUUUCUGUUUUCCCCUGAUGAGACUCAAGGCAGCUUACAUAUAAAAUUAAGAAACGCUAAAAGCAUGGGGAAAAACACGAUUAAAAAUUGUUAAACUAUAUAUAUUUAUAUAUACAUAUAUACACACAUGCAUACAUACAUAUAUAUAAUUUAUUAAAAUACAUUCUGCUCCACGCAAAUUUACAAUACAUUUCCCAUCUUCCUUUUCCUCUUUCUAACCACUCUUCUCAAAAAGGGCGUCUUUUUCACACACACGCACCCUUUCUUCCUGCAGACAAUUUAAUUUGUGUUCAGAACCCACUGCGAAUCUUCUUUUUCAUUCAGUUCCUAGGUGGAAUCCUGGGAUAUGGGAAUAAAAAUGCCUCUGAGCACACGCAAAGUGUAUUUUAGCCGUCAUUUAAUAGCUGCCUUCUCAUGCUAGAAUUCAGAAGCAUCAUAUGCUUACACAGGAUUUUCGGUAUAAGUGCUGAGUUGACAAUCUCCCCCCCCCCACUCUCAAAAAAUCGCAUCUAUUUUUCAUCCCCCACUCCUGUCUUCCAGUGGUAAGUUCUUAAAAAAAAACAAAACACCCCACCCCACCCCAAACACUGGAAGAAGGCACUUUACAUUUUUAGAAAUAUUCAUGUUGAUGUCCUACCAAUAAGUUAAACAAGGUGGUAGAAGCCAAAAGUGUUUCCAAAGCUCAAAUUCCCGUCCUCAGUCCUUGGUCCCCAGCAUUGGAAACUUCUAUUGGAGCUCCAGCAAAUUCAGGUGGCUGAUGACAGCAGGAAGACAGCUCACCAGUAGCAAUAGAAGCAUCUAAUGUUCAUUUAACUCUGAAGGCUUGGGGGAGGAAAGUUCAGGGGCAGGAAAACCAGGAAAUGCAAUGCAGCAGAGCCCAUUUCUUGGCUUGCCUCAGAUAUUGCAAGUUUAAAUCUGGCAUCAUAAGUAAAGAGGUAUCUAUGCAGUUUGUUUGUGAUACAUAGAAUGGGCUUCAGUUCCUAUUGCCAGAACCAUACAAAUUGCCCAAAAGUUGUGGGUGGGGAAUGGGAAUGUACUUGAUUCCUGAAAUACUAGAUGAUUUGAGAGGGCUUCAGGAUAGAGCUCUGGAAAAACAUGGCAGCCUCAGCUGAUAUAGGAUAAUUGGAGAAUAUAAUGUAAAGGGGCGGGGGGAAUGUAAUGAAGGGGAGACAAAUAAGAGCAGGAGUUUAUUAAAUAGUUUUUUAAAAUCAUAAUGCAGAUUUUGUUCUGUCGUACUGUUUUUUUUUUAACUCUUGUGAUAAGUUAUCAAAUUCUGAGAUUUCUAUUUUUUUAAUUGCAACAAUUCCCUAAGCCAUGGAAUGGGCACUAAUACCUUAAGUGGUGGCACAAACCUGAUGCAAGAUGUGUUGUUGAAAUGUCUGGGAGCAAUAGAUAUGUAAGUGGGUAGUUGCUAAGAAAGCGCAACACAGUCACAUAUAACUUUUUUUUGGUGUGUGUAAACCAUUUAAGGGUCCCCCCCCAAUAAUAAUAAUAAUUUAUUAUUUAUACCCCUCCCAUCUGGCUGGGCUUCCCCAGGCACUCUGGGCGGCUUCCAACCAAACACUACAGUCAAGUGUAUAU